UACCAUUUACUAAAAUGAGAAAUGUUAGGGAAUGAGCAGACAGAUUUGAAGGGUGGGAAGUAUCAAAGAAAUAUCAAGAAACCAUUUUUGAACUUGCUAAUCUUAAUAUCUGUGAGUAACCCAAAUUGAAAAGAUUAGUUGGCUGUUGAAUACAUCCUUGCAGUUUGCUGAAUUUUUUGGAUCUAUUGAUUGUCAUUUUUCAUUAUAUUUCAUCAUAUUUCAUGUCUCUUGAAAUAUUUAUUCUGCUCCAUUGUCCAUCUUCUUUUUGUCCUGUUAGAAUUGUUGAUAUUAUUCCACAAACCAUUGAGGCUCUGUUCACUUUUUUUUCAUUUUUUCUCUGUGUAUAAGUUUGGAAAUUUCUAUCUACCUGUCUUCAAUUUCACUGAUACUUUUCUUCUGAAAGCCUUUCCUAUUUUAAUUUCAGGUAUUGUAUUUUCAGUUCUGGGACAUCCAUUUGGUUCAUUUUCAGCUUCCAUAUAUUUUCCGAAAUUUUCCAUAUCUUUACUCAUCCAUUUUUCCUAUGAAUUCUUUAAUAUACUUAUAAUAGUCAUUUUAAACUUCUUGUUUGCUAAUUCCAAUAUCUGGUAUGUCUGUGUGUCUGCUUUUAUUGACUGAUUUUGCUUUUGAAUGUGGUCACAAUUUCCUGACCCUUUACAUGUCCAGUAAUUUUCAUUGUACAUUGAAUGAUAUUUUGUAGAGACAUUGGAUUUGCAGUCUUCCUCUGAAAAAUGUUAGUUCUGUUCCAGAAAGCAAUUAAAUUGCUUGUGGAUCCACUUGAUCCUACAGAUGCUUUGUUUUUAGUUUCGUUAGAGUGGCUGUAAUUCAAUUUUUCUCUCAGCUCCAAGGCAUAGACUUUUGGGAAUGAUUCUUCUUACUAUAAGAUGUGACCUUUCUGGAGCAUCAGUGACAAACCCUAGAUUUAAGUCCCCUAAUUAGGCAGGACUUGAAUCCCAAACUGUGUCUCCCUAAUGCCAGGCAGCUACUGAAAUACCUGUUCAGCAUUUUACCCUUCCAACUAUUGCUUUCUGCUGGGUGUGUUGGAGUCUCACUCUAUAUGUAUGCAGCCAGAUUUUGGAAUAGUUCACGUGCAGACUAGGAGGCCACCCCUUUUGUGGUUUCAUACUUUCAUGCACUUACCUAUCCUCACCAAUUUCUAGCAGCCCUGAACUUUGACCUCAGACUUCUGUUUGAGCAAACUGGAAAGUGCUAUCACAGGAAAAGCCAGUUAAAUGUGGAUCUCAUCCAGUGUGCUUCUAUUCUUGAAAGCAUACUAUCAGCUCCAGUCUCUGCCUGCUUUUAGUUGAUAUAGAGAGAGGCAUGGAAAUAGACAUAGAUAUAUAGAUAUAUUUGUUUUUCCAGAGUUUAUAAUUGUUAUUGGCAGGAAACUUAGUCCAAUAUACACUAUUCUGACACACAACCAUCAGAAUUCUGGUAGUUGAAUGGAUGAAUCUUGAUUUCAGGAAAGAAUUCUGAGCAGAAAUAUAAAAAUUGAUAUUUAUCAAUGGGAGAAACAGUCUAGGAAAGUGCUUCUCAUUAUUGGUUUCACGUUAGAAUCUCCUGACAAAAUUUAAUAAUCUAUUUGGCCAGACUACCCCAAAUCAACUAAAUCAGAAUCUCUGGGGAUUGGACCCGAGUAUCAGUAUUUGUUAAAGCCCCACAGGUGAUUUAAAUGUGCACCUAGAAUUGAGAACUGCUGAACUCAAAAGAGGGCAAAGGGUAAAAGAAGAAGUAGAUUCAGAUCCCAGGCUUAUUCAGCAAAGGAAACUGAGAAGGAACAACCAGAGGAAGAUAGGGUCAUAAAAGGCAAGAGAGGAGAGUGUUUCUCUAAGCAGGAAGAAGUCAUCAAACGUGUUAAAUGCUCAAGAACCAUGUGAAGCGAUAUGAAUCCACUUUUGCAAAUGAAGAAUCUGAGCCUGAAGGAAGAUUAGAGACUUGCUCAAGAUUUUACAGGGCAUGCACCUACUAUGUGCAAAGUAUUACGCUGGGACUGCGUGGAAGAACACAAUUUUUGAUGACCUAGUUAGCCAGGACUACUCCAAAUCCUAAAGCAGAAUCCCUGAUAGUUGAACCCAGACAUCAGCAGUUGUUAAACCUCCCCAGGUAAUCUCAAUAUGCACCUAGAAGAGAUGACAAACUCCAGCGUAGUGUGAAACGGAUACAGCAAUAACAAGAGCCAAAUGUUCGUAAUUACUUAUCAUGGGCCAGGCAACAUGCUAAGCUCUUCAAUUGGAUAAUCUCCUUUCAUCUUCAAAACGACCCAGUGAAGACGGUAUUAUUGUUAACCAUUAUCUUCAUUUUUUAAAUGAGAGAAAUAUGGCUUUCUUAGAGGCUCCAUAGUGUGUCCAAGGUCAGUGGAAACCCCAAAUUUCUGACUCCAGAUUCCUUGUCCUAGCCACUAGAUUAUACUGUCUCCCCACAAUAAAGCUAAAUAAAAGGGAGACUCUUUUGAGGACUAUUUUCUGAAAGUUAAAUUUGGAAGAUAAUUGGGGUAAAUCUAGCUCAGUACUUUGAGUAAAUGAUGCUUUGUCCAGUGAAGAAAAAAGACAGAGAGAAUAGAGAACGAUAAAAAGUUAGCUCCAGAUGAAUUAAGGUCCCUUCUAUGAUCUCCUUUGAAAUUGAGAAAAGUGUUUUGAUGAGGACCUAUUAUAUACCUUAGCAGCCCUGAGGACAGCACGGUCCAUAGCUAUCUGGAAAGAGGCUCCUGUAGUAGAUCCCAAGGUAAAUAGACAGAGGAGCAUCUGGUGUCAUCAGAAGGGGCAGCAUCCUGGAGAGAAUGGAGUGGGAGGAUGGAGUAUUCAAUGGGAUUCUGGAACAUCAGAAAAGUAUGAAACCUGAGUGGAGGACCCAUGCAUAUGUCCAAGUUUCAUAUACCGAGGAAUUAUCGAUGCAUAAACCUAGUCUGCCUGCUUAAUGUUUGUCUUAUAUG
ensembl:lncRNA